CAGGCGGGUCGAGCCCUAACCACGAUUCGCCUUUUCCUCUGUGGUGGCCGGAGGCAGCUUGCGAAGGAACCGCCAUUAAGGGCUCCAGCAGAGGGGCAGAGAGGCUGUGGUCCCUGGCAGGGAUCAGGUGAAUCCUUUCAUAAUUAAUAAGACAGCUCAGCUGAAAUGGCGAGGAGACGGGGCCCUAUUGAUCUGGCAGUCGAGCUGCUUCCACCUCUCCUAUUUAUAGGCUCCGCAUGGCCUCACGGAGGAGUAAACAUUCGAGAGUAAACACGAGCGGAAGAGGCCGGGGUCCAAGCUGCAGAACUGGAGCCGGCUGGGGAGGGAGAACCGAACGAGAGGAACAGCAUCUCCUAGGGGCCCUUCCUUGAGGUUGGGGCCGGAGCAGCCCCGAAACCGAACACCCGAAUAAGGAAACCGUGCCAGCCCCGCCCAUCCCGGCUUCGACAAUCUCCCCACUCCAGCCCCACCGGGCGAGCAGGAAUGUAACAUUCCUGUCCAGAUUCUUGCCCUGGAAGGACAUCCCCUUUAGAGUGAGCACUCAGGAGCCAGAAGACCUCCAUUACCAGCUGCGUAACCAUGGGCCACGCGCUCCACCCCGCUGGCCUGCUCAGAUCUCAGAGGAUGCUCUGGAUAAGCUCCUUGAAUCAUGCUCGACGGUGACUGCGCCCCCAGACCCUACCUCACCCAACCUGGAUCGAGAGCCUGGGCCAGACCCCCGGCUUUCACUGCCUGCGAACCCCCACCUCGAGUCCCUGGGUUCUCCCAGCACUAACCGAUUCCUCCUGGAGCUUCCCAGUAGGUAGCCUGGCUGCUCUCUGGAAGGUGCCUUUCCGGCACCUGCAUUGGUUCUCGGGGCCAAGAUCGCUACCACAGCGCCCCGCCCUCCCGACUGGCGGGGAAGGGCGGGCUAGACUUUGGAUCUCCCUCUGCCGGGCAGCGGCAAGGACAGCGCAAGCAGCGACUUUUAUGCAAAGUCAGGUGUAAUUAGUUCUGGAAAACCUUGACUCUCGCUCCUUAAUCUAAUCCACACGCCUGGGGGAGCCAGGGCCUGGGUGCUGCGGGGGCGCUGAGUGAGUGACCGUGGGCGAGCGGAGAUGGGGCUCCGUUGCCAGUCCCCCCCGACCGCCACCACCGCCACCGCCACUUCCAUCCGGGAGCUCCCUGCAGCCACAAUGGCUCUGCUCCUGAGUCAGUACCAAGGCGACGACCCCCUGGCCUGAGAAGGAAGGAAGGAGGCAGCAAAGGAAAAGAAAAUCGCACCUUGAUGGAAGGGCAGCGAAGGUGACAGCUGAGCUUUUGUUUUCCCUGCCCAGGGAGACCAAGAGGCUUCCACAGGUGGCACCAACUCAGGGAGCCAGGAGGAGGACGGAACCAUCUGUGCGGGACUCGGUGCACAGAGACUGAUUAUACUACUCUCUCCCUUCUUUCUCCCCCUCCCCCUCUUUGCUCUGCCUAACUUUUUAAAAGGUUAACUUACCUUUAUUGAGCGCUUACUACAUGCUAGACAUCAUACUAAAGCUUCUGAACAUCAUCUCAUUUCCUGCGCUCAUUUCUGUAGAUUGUAUUAUCCUCAUUACAGAUGAGAAAAGGUGUAGAGAGAGGAUAGAAACCUACCCCUAGCAGCAGGUGGUAAGAGGCCCAGCUGAAAUGUGAGCACGAAUCUGUUUCAGGAAUCUGUUUUAAGACUUCACUUUGCUUGUUCUGUUACUAUUUGGAGCCAAAAGAGAGACAGCACAAGUUAAAAAAGACAACAAAGAAACUCAGGUCCUAUGGUGGGCAGAAUAAUGGCCUCACAAGAUGUCAUGUUCUAACCCCCGGAAACUGCAAAUAUGUCAGUUAUAGGGCAAAAGGGAGUUAAGGCUGCAGGUGGAAUUAGGAUGCUAAUGGGCUGACUGUAAAAUAAGAUUAUUCUGGAUCACCCCUGAGGGCCCAGUGUAAUGACAAGAGUCCUUAGAAGUGGAAGAGGGAGGCAGAAGAGAGAGGUCCGAGUCAGGGGAUGUGAGAAGGGCUGGACCCACUUCUUUGGCUUUGAAGAUGGAGCAAAGAGUCCACAAGCCAAGGAAUUCAGGCAGCCUCUAGAAACUGGUAAAGGCGAGGAAACCAGAUUCUUCCCUGGAGCCUUCAGAAAGGAACGGCCCAGCCAUUUCAGCCCAGUGAAGCUCGUGUCAGACUUCUGACCUACAGCACUAACUCGAAGAUAAGAAAUUUGCAUUGUUUAAGCCACCAAGUUUGUAGCAACUUGUUACAGUUGCAAAUAGAAAAAUAAUACAAACCCUUAUUAUGGCUGAGGGCUACAUUACAGAUACUCAGAGAGCCAGGAUCUUCAGGAAGUUUGUUGAGUCUGCUCAGGGCCCUUCUUUGAGUGUCGUGUCGUGUGUGUGUGUGUGUGUGUGUGUGUGUGUGUGUGUGUGUGUGUAGGGAGGGUGUGGGCAGCUUCAUUUCAGCCUGGGGCGGCUCCACAUGUGGA